AGCCCAUAAAGUGCUCAAGAGGGGGGAGACCAGACUAGUCCAUUGAGUUGGAGCUGGUUUCAGCUAGAUGGAGUGGGACACACAGUACACCUCCAGCACACUUCUCAGAAAGCAUCUACUAAUCUGAGUGCGUAUGUGUGUGAGAUGAUGUAAGAGAAUACACCUGUGAAUUCAAACUGAAGAACAUGGCUGGUUCCAGUGUUGUCUGCUUCCCCGAACAAAGCGUCUCUGUUUUAAAACAGCAAAGUGCCCUUAGCUGACCCAAUCUGGAAGCAAAGGUCCUCUGCAACCCCGAGCUGCCAUUAAACCAGCACUUCAACCUCCAUCCAGCCUCCACCAUGUCGUCCGAUCUGCUGGUAGGAUGUGCCAAAGAAACCUGCUGUUCCCAAAGCAAUUACUCCGUCCACUUUGAAACAUCUACUCUAUUGUGACAAGCUCUGACAGCCCGGCUCUUUAAAAUCUAUUAAACUCCACAGCAAACACUCCGCAAAAAACGACUGUGGAAUAAUUAAGGAGCGCCGAGUUCACCGAGCCGUGGAAAUGGAUGCAGUCAUGAAAAUAAAAACAUAUGUUAGCGGCUAGUGGCAA
rnacentral:lncRNA from 1 species